AGAUUGAACGCUGGCGGCAUGCCUUACACAUGCAAGUCGAACGGCAGCACGGGAGCAAUCCUGGUGGCGAGUGGCGAACGGGUGAGUAAUACAUCGGAACGUGCCCAAUCGUGGGGGAUAACGCAGCGAAAGCUGUGCUAAUACCGCAUAAAAUCUACGGAUGAAAGCAAGGGAUCGCAAGACCUUGCGCGAAUGGAGCGGCCGAUGGCAGAUUAGGUAGUUGGUGAGGUAAAGGCUCACCAAGCCUUCGAUCUGUAGCUGGUCUGAGAGGACGACCAGCCACACUGGGACUGAGACACGGCCCAGACUCCUACGGGAGGCAGCAGUGGGGAAUUUUGGACAAUGGGCGCAAGCCUGAUCCAGCCAUGCCGCGUGCAGGAUGAAGGCCUUCGGGUUGUAAACUGCUUUUGUACGGAACGAAACGGCCUUUUCUAAUAAAGAGGGCUAAUGACGGUACCGUAAGAAUAAGCACCGGCUAACUACGUGCCAGCAGCCGCGGUAAUACGUAGGGUGCAAGCGUUAAUCGGAAUUACUGGGCGUAAAGCGUGCGCAGGCGGUUAUGUAAGACAGUUGU
rnacentral:rRNA from 1 species